GGGGGCGACAGGGCUCGACGGAGGUUAUGAAGCUCAGAAAGCAUGUCGUGGCUCCGUCACCACGUAAAAAAGCGGAAACAUAUACAAGCGCCAACAACGAACUGGCACUCGCUGCUUAAUUGAAGCAGCACACUACUUCGAGAUUGCCUGUGUCUUGGAGAUAGUGUCGGUAGCAGGCUGGCUUUAAGGAUUUUCUCCUUUCCUUAAAGCAAGAAAUAUGGAGAUUGGAUAAUGAAAAGCCCUUCUGCUGGCAGUUCAUUAUCCGAGAUGAAAAAGCAGAAUAAACAUGUAGAAAUUUGGGUGGUCAUACUUUCGGACGCGGGUUCAAUUCCCGCCGCCUCCACCA
rnacentral:tmRNA from 1 species